rnacentral:rRNA from 1 species
GACAGACCCAGGGAACUGAAACAUCUAAGUACCUGGAGGAAGAGAAAGCAAAUGCGAUUUCCUGAGUAGCGGCGAGCGAAACGGAACAUAGCCCAAACCAAGAGGCUUGCCUCUUGGGGUUGUAGGACAUUCUAUACGGAGUUACAAAGGAACGAGGUAGACGAAGCGACCUGGAAAGGUCCGUCGUAGAGGGUAACAACCCCGUAGUCGAAACUUCGUUCUCUCUUGAAUGUAUCCUGAGUACGGCGGAACACGUGAAAUUCCGUCGGAAUCUGGGAGGACCAUCUCCCAAGGCUAAAUACUCCCUAGUGAUCGAUAGUGAACCAGUACCGUGAGGGAAAGGUGAAAAGCACCCCGGAAGGGGAGUGAAAGAGAUCCUGAAACCGUGUGCCUACAAAUAGUCAGAGCCCGUUAACGGGUGAUGGCGUGCCUUUUGUAGAAUGAACCGGCGAGUUACGAUCCCGUGCGAGGUUAAGCUGAAGAGGCGGAGCCGCAGCGAAAGCGAGUCUGAAUAGGGCGUUUAGUACGUGGUCGUAGACCCGAAACCAGGUGAUCUACCCAUGUCCAGGGUGAAGUUCAGGUAACACUGAAUGGAGGCCCGAACCCACGCACGUUGAAAAGUGCGGGGAUGAGGUGUGGGUAGCGGAGAAAUUCCAAUCGAACCUGGAGAUAGCUGGUUCUCCCCGAAAUAGCUUUAGGGCUAGCCUUAAGUGUAAGAGUCUUGGAGGUAGAGCACUGAUUGGACUAGGGGUCCUCAUCGGAUUACCGAAUUCAGUCAAACUCCGAAUGCCAAUGACUUAUCCUUAGGAGUCAGACUGCGAGUGAUAAGAUCCGUAGUCAAAAGGGAAACAGCCCAGACCGCCAGCUAAGGUCCCAAAGUGUGUAUUAAGUGGAAAAGGAUGUGGAGUUGCUUAGACAACUAGGAUGUUGGCUUAGAAGCAGCCACCAUUUAAAGAGUGCGUAAUAGCUCACUAGUCGAGUGACUCUGCGCCGAAAAUGUACCGGGGCUAAAUACACCACCGAAGCUGCGGAUUGAUACCAAUGGUAUCAGUGGUAGGGGAGCGUUCUAAGGACAGUGAAGUCAGACCGGAAGGACUGGUGGAGUGCUUAGAAGUGAGAAUGCCGGUAUGAGUAGCGAAAGACGGGUGAGAAUCCCGUCCACCGAAUGCCUAAGGUUUCCUGAGGAAGGCUCGUCCGCUCAGGGUUAGUCAGGACCUAAGCCGAGGCCGACAGGCGUAGGCGAUGGACAACAGGUUGAUAUUCCUGUACCACCUCUUUAUCGUUUGAGCAAUGGAGGGACGCAGAAGGAUAGAAGAAGCGUGCGAUUGGUUGUGCACGUCCAAGCAGUUAGGCUGAUAA